AUAAAAUUUCUUCCUUUUUCAUCAACAUAAAAUUUCUUCCUUUUUCAUCAACAUAAAAUUUCUUCCUUUUUUCAUCAACAUAAAAAUCCUUCCUUUGGUCAAACAUAAGAAGAGGUUUUCCUUUCAAACAUAAGAGGAGGUCACACAUAAGAGGUCUUCCUUUCAUACAUAAGAGGAGGUCACAUAAAAGAGGAGGUCAUCCUUUGG